rnacentral:rRNA from 1 species
GACGAACGCUGGCGGCGUGCCUAAUACAUGCAAGUCGAACGCACUCUCGUUUAGAUUGAAGGAGUUUGCUCCUGAUUGAUAAACAUUUGAGUGAGUGGCGGACGGGUGAGUAACACGUGGGUAACCUGCCCUAAAGUGGGGGAUAACAUUUGGAAACAGAUGCUAAUACCGCAUAAAACCUAACACCGCAUGGUGUAGGGUUGACAGAUGGUUUCGGCUAUCACUUUAGGAUGGACCCGCGGUGCAUUAGUUAGUUGGUGAGGUAAAGGCUCACCAAGACCGUGAUGCAUAGCCGACCUGAGAGGGGAAUCGGCCACACUGGGACUGAGACACGGCCCAGACGCCUACGGGAGGCAGCAGUAGGGAAUCUUCCACAAUGGGCGAAAGUCUGAUGGAGCAACGCCGCGUGAGUGAAGAAGGUUUUCGGAUCGUAAAACUCGGUUGUUGGAGAAGAAUGUAUCUGAUAGUAACUGAUCAGGUAGUGACGGUAUCCAACCAGAAAGCCACGGCUAACUACGUG